rnacentral:rRNA from 1 species
UACGUAGGGGGCAAGCGUUGUCCGGAUUUAUUGGGCGUAAAGAGCUCGUAGGCGGUUUGUCGCGUCUGCUGUGAAAACCUAAGGCUCAACCUUGGGCUUGCAGUGGGUACGGGCAGACUAGAGUGCGGUAGGGGUGACUGGAAUUCCUGGUGUAGCGGUGGAAUGCGCAGAUAUCAGGAGGAACACCGGUGGCGAAGGCGGGUCUCUGGGCCGAUACUGACGCUGAGGAGCGAAAGCGUGGGGAGCGAACAGG